UAAUCUUGAAAUUUGGCAUAAUUAGGGGCGUCCACCCCCCUCAGCUCCACCUUUUUGCCCAUUUUGGAUUUUCCAGGAAUAACAACACAUGUGACGCUGCUAAGAUGGCGAUGGUGGAACCUGCCCAAUGAGCUUAAUUCAGCUCUU